CAACGGGGUGGGACCCGGAGAUGAGUCUGCUUAUUAUUCUCUAAACCCUGAACUCUCCCACUCAAGUUGGGAAUUUAAACCAUUGGGGGUAUUUGGCCGGCGUUUCCCCUGAGUAAAUUAAAAAACGCCGAUGGUUACAUAAGAGGCUCGUCUCCAUGUUGAACCAAUGGGUUGGGUUUGGUUUGUUAGGUGGUUCUGUUGAAACUGGAUUAGUGUCUGCGGUUAACCGUUUCCUCGCCUUUCCCUCCCACCCCCAAAUUUU
rnacentral:telomerase_RNA from 1 species